GACGAACGCUGGCGGUAUGCUUAACACAUGCAAGUCGAACGAGACAAAAGAGAAGUGCUUGCACGGAUCUUUUAGAAAGUGGCGAACGGGUGAGUAACGCGUGGGUAACCUGCCCUAUGGAAAGGAAUAGCCUCGGGAAACUGGGAGUAAUGCCUUAUAAGAUAUAUUUGUCGCAUGGCAGAUGUAUUAAACGCUCCGGUGCCAUAGGAUGGACCCGCGUCCCAUUAGCUAGUUGGUGAGAUAACAGCCCACCAAGGCGACGAUGGGUAACCGGUCUGAGAGGGCGAACGGUCACACUGGAACUGAGACACGGUCCAGACUCCUACGGGAGGCAGCAGUGGGGAAUAUUGCGCAAUGGGGGCAACCCUGACGCAGCAAUACCGCGUGAGUGAAGAA
rnacentral:rRNA from 1 species